rnacentral:lncRNA from 1 species
CUUUAUUCAGUCUUCAACAAUAGACAAGAAAUUGUUAAGAUGCACAGCCAAUUGUUUUGAGAAUAUUAUAAUUCGGACUCUGUAAGGUGUUUUUCAAACAGAUUUCUUGAAAUUUACACGGGGAAUGAAACGUAAACGCUAGAAAUUGGCAUUAUGUUUUGCUGUUACACCACUGUGUUAGAUUACCGCAGCUCACUCACAUGUUUAACCCCGACAUAUUCUGUAUGGGCCUGCAGUGCAUUGGUUUUUCGAUGGUUUAUGUCUGUCAUAUUUGUUUUUCGGAUUUUUUUAUAUAUAGAAGACCGUUAAUUUUCUAUUUUGAAUUGUUUACAUUAUUUAUGUCGUGGCCUUUAAUAGCCUUUGUUGUAUUGGUUUUUAUCAUUGUUGAAAGCCAUAUGGUUAAUAAUUGCUCACUUUCAUUUUAUUUGAAAUCUUGUGUAUAGUUUCGAAAUUCUC